GCAGAACAAACAGCCCUGCCGCUGCCGCCGCCGCCGCCGCCGCCGCCAGCGCACUGACGUCACCACGUACGCUGCGCGCGCGGCCCCGCGCCGCCACCCGGCGUGCGCGUCCCGCGACCGCGCCCGGCGCAGGCAAGCUCGGGAGAGCUAGCAGGCGCUAGGUGAGUGGGGGAGGCGGGCGCGCGGGGUUGGGGGAACCCCUCGGCUGGAGGGCGCAGGGAUCAGGCGGACCCAGGGAAGACACCCCCGCAGACGGAGGGGCGUGACCCUGCGGACCAGAGGAGAGAACGGGGUGGGGGGGCGGGGAGAUCUAACAGACUGAAGGCUGGGACUGAGAAGGGAGAUGUCCAAAAUUGUAAGAAGAUGAGACCCUCAGCGACAGGGAGGAAGGAAACCAGAAUGUAUCCAUUUGAAGCUGUCCUUUCCAUGGUUGUCUUCUUGUAUUAUCUACUUAAUUUAUUGUUGUUGCUGAUCAUGUUUUUGGAAGUAAUUUGAAGCUGCCAGUUUGCAAGUCAGGUAACAGAAUCUUACACUUUACUUGAGUCACACUUCAUUUAAACAAAACUGUAACAUUUAGCUUGUUCUACUGAACCAAACUGGAGGACUUUGGGCUGUUGCUAGAAGUCAUUUCCAGCCUGAAUAGAAUAUGCAAACUAUAGAGGCAGUUCCAAAAGCUGUUUCCAACAUCCCAUUCUUCUUGUCUUCCAUAGUGCAGACCCUAACUAACUCCUUACAGCUUAAACUCAGAAAAUGUUUAUCCGGUUGAAUCAGUUUCAUAAAAAGUGUUGCUUUUUAAUGGUUCCCAUAAUAAGCACCUUUUCUCUUGUUAUUACUGUGUUUGCAAUACUGAAAACCAGGAGAGAUUAAUAAAAAUAUUAAGGAAUGAGACAUGAAGUACAUACUAUAAUUCUGAUUGGUUUUAAAUAUGCAUUAUUCAUUUUAAAUAAAAUAAUACAUGAAACCAUUUUAACUGAACAAUGAAAAAGAAUCUAGAGAAAAAAA